rnacentral:tRNA from 1 species
GUCGGAUUGGUGUAGAGGUAGCACGCCCGACUUUGAAUCGGUAAGCGCGGGUUCGAUCCCCGUAUCCGGCA